rnacentral:lncRNA from 1 species
AUCAUACAAGAGGUUGGUGAAACUUAGAGUAUAUCGAAAAGGAGGUGUGCAAUUGAAAAUCGUCGCAUCCCGCCGUCCGAAGAUACUGCAAUUAUGCAGGCCAUGGUCAUCUAAGAUUUCUGGUGGUGGUGGCAGAUUUGGGAGCUACAUCUGGGCACAACAUGGAAUCAACUCAUCCAAAUGGGCGUAUGUUUUAGUUUGGAAAUUCUGACGUCGGGCGUGUGAUACUCAACCUUUUCCUGAUGCAGAUGCACAUGCUUAAAUGCUUGUGGAUAUGACAAUCAGAUUAUUGCAAGAUUAAUUGGAUGAGAUGUAAUAGUGAGUUGUUUUAAAGAAGCAUUGUUCUGGUAUUGGUCGAUGCUAUUGAGCCAUUCGUUUGGCCUUGUCAUUGCAGUUGAUCAACCACACCCUCUUUCUCCUUGCGAAUGAUGCGUGGGUUCCGAAACCACCAGCGCUGCAUAUGCCAAACAGACACGCCUUGGUUCUUGAUAGAGCUUGAAUCAACUUGUGUAGUCUGACUAGAGGAAUUAGAUGUACUGUAAUGUUUUAUGAUAACAGUGAUGUGUAGAUUGUAGUGUUAGUCAACUAAAUUACCAAUGCCGUGUAGACGUUAACCGGAUUUUCUUUUUAUACAGCAGAGCAGCUGUCCCUCAAAACAAAACUCAAAAUUGUGGCCUCUCUGACGUUUCAACAAGACCAGACACUCAAACUAAGGGACUAUUGAGCUAGUUUCGUGUUCAAAAACUUUUGACUGAAAGUAAUGGCAAGUGUUCUCUGGUACAA